UAUCUACAGCAGAACCCCAGGGUGGCACAAGCCCCUUGGCGGGUCUGACAGUGGUCUAGGACCCUUGGCGCCAUCCCGAAACACCCCGCACCUGCACCCAGUGCUCGGGAUGGAGGGGACGACCUUCCGGGCCACGGGGCAUUGAGGCCAGGCAGGAGGGAUGGAGACACCAACCACAAACCAGAAGCAAGCACCCCCCGGGCAAGGGGAGAGUGGAAUGCAGAUGAAUGAAAAUUUCCUCGUGGCCUAGUCGUCAUCUAGGAUCAGCACCAUCAUCAAAGAAAGUGGACAAGCAGAUGGAAGAGGACAUUGCUAAGUUAGGCUUUCAGCAAAGGCCCUUUCUACCUUUCUCUCUCUUUCCCUGCCUCUCACCUGGAAUGCAGAUGUGAUGGUUGAAGCAUCAGCCGCCACAGUAAGACUAUGAAGCAAACUUAGGAUGGCAGUCAAUGAGGUAGAGCAGAGGGUUAGAAGGAGCCCUGGUCCCUGAGGAGGUUGAAGCUUCCGUGACUGCACAGGCUGCUCUCCUCCAGCCCCUUUGAGAAGAGGGAAAGUUCUGUUCUACUGUAUUCAAGCUGCUGUCAUUCCCAGUGUCUGUUAUUAGCAACCAAGCUCAAUUCUUAGAGGAUACAGCUUUGCCGACCCCUCUUUCUAUUCUUGCUUAGAGGCCACCUACCUUUCCCUGGGUGUAUUCCAAAAAUGAAUCUAUGCCUUCAGCAAAGACUAUGUCCACAGCGAGGAGCUGGGCCAGGAGCUAAAAGCUAGGCCUCACUAGUCUCUCCUCCUCAGAUCGUCUCACUCAGGGACUUUUCCUGAAUAUCAAUCCACAAACCUCUUCUCAGCAGUUCCCAGGCUCCAUCCCAACAGGCCAGGGCUGCCCAAUUCAACUCACAUUCAGAACAGCAGGAGACUGGGCUACAGUGUAGCUACAGCGGCCUCCACCUGGACCCAGGAGAUGGGAGUAUCUGAGGGCACUUUCUGGAUGGCUCGCAGAAGCAACAAUGCACCGAAAUAUCCUCUGGCUGUGACUCUGGUGAGCCCAACAUUCCCAUCUCUGCGGACGUGACAGCUCCCCUGGCUGGCCCGAGCUCUCGGGCACAAGGGUGAUGCUCACAGUGGGCCCAAUAGUAGCCCCCAAAGGACGCAUCCAUGUCUUCAUCCCCAGGCCUUACCUGGGAAAACAGAGCUUGCAUAUGUAAGCUAGUUAGGGACUUGAGGCAAGAGCUGCUCAGGACCACCUGGGUGAGCCCUAAAUAAUGACACGUGUCUGUACAAGAGACACAGAGGAGACGUGCAGACAAGCACUGGCGAGAAGCCAUGUGAAGGUGUAGGCAGAGACCGGAGGACAGGGCCACUAGCCCAGAGGCCCUGGAGCCUCCAGCAGUAGAAGAGGCAGGAAGGACUGUCCCCCAGAACAUGUGUGGCUCCAGGAACAUGAGUACCGAUUCCUGUUGUCACAAGCCCCCAGUCUGUGACAUUUCUUAUGGCCACAGAAGGCUAAUGCACCCUUUCCCUCAUGCUCAUCCCUGUACUGCCAGGGCCCAGGGACCCCACAUGCUGCCUGAGGCUCCCUCCUUGCCUCGGACCCUGUUAGUUACAGGUUUGCUCCUGUGUCUGCAGCCCCAGAGGUGAAGCCGGGGCUGGCGGCCUCAGCUGGGGGCUCAGCCCCUCCAAGAGAACAAGGACAGACCAUCCACCACCAGGCACCGCCGUUAGGGGAACCCCAGCCCAGGGCCUUGCUCCCCAUGUGACGCCCCCUCCCCUGAGCCCCCUGCCCUGGGCGUCCUGGGGGGCAGCCCUCGCUGAGCCGGUCUCCCUAAGUAGUCCUGUUUGAUGCCCUUUCCCCAAACAGAGAUGCCCGCCAGGCUAAUGUUUCUAUGGUUCAUUAUUUUUCUCAUGAAAAGUAAUGAGUUUUAAAAGAGUUCACCUUCUGGAGAUGAAGAUCUGGCUGGAGGACCAUUAACGCUGCCGACCCCAAGCCCCAGGAGCAUUAUAACUUAUCAAAAGACACUAUUUUAUGAGAGCUGUCGUGUUGUUGAGCCAGCCCAGCCAGCACCAUCUCUUCCCUCAGAGAGAGCAGGUGGUGCAGGACAGGGAGCUCUGUCUAGUCUUCCUCAGCCCUAGGACAUCUAGCGUCAAGUGGGCAGUGGCCCAUCCUCGAAGAGGCUGUCCCCAGACAAGGGACAGGCCCACGUUGUGCACAGAUCACCUCCAGCUCCCUGCUCUGCUCCAGGACGCACCAGCCACAGAGCAGGACUUGCAUCGACAGCUCCAGUUCCAGCCGCAUGGUCCUGUUGUCCAACCCAUGCCCACAAGGCCUUUGCUCUCACUCACACACUCCAGUCCAGUCCCUAUGGAGCAGCCCUGGCAUGUGGGACCCCUCGGUGCCCUGAACCUCUGGGCCAUCAGGGGCAUGCAGGAUGAGCUGCCUCCCUCAGGAGACGCACUGCAAAGGGGAGUGCUGGAGGCCCACCCAGAAUCUGCCUCCAGCAGCGGUCCCCACACCCAGCAAACUCUCCCGAGAGUGGCCAGUGAGCACCUGCAGUGCUGGGGACCAGAAGUGGCCAAAGUUUCAGGAAGGGCUGACUCGCUGGGACGCUGUUCCCUUCUGAAGCUGUGUGACCAAACACCACAAGCCACGUGUUCCCCGCUCUGCACGGCUGCUUGGGCCCCGGACAGCUCAGGGUGUCGGCAAUCCAGACCCGUGCUGCUGUGGCUGGCUUCUGAGAUACUGGCCCCUUGGGGGUCUCGGAGUUCCCAGCUGAGCCACUGCUGACCCCCAUCCCGGUCUGGACACAAGCACAGAGAAGAGCCAUGUCCCCCCGGCAGCGUGCCUGUUAAGGCACCGUGUUGGCCACGGUGUCCCCAUCGCAGGCAGGUGACAUGAGCCUCCCACUUCUGUGUAAGGGAAGCCCUGACGUGGACAGAAGACCCCUCCCGCAACUGCGAGGGGCUGCUGGCUGCCCCACCGCACCCAGCCCUCCUGGCCACAGAGCCCCGCAGAGCCCGGCGGCGGCGGACCGGGUGCCAGGCCUGCGUGCGGUGGGUGGUGCGCAGCCCGCAGCUGCUGGAAUCUCUGAGGUGAGCAGC